ensembl:lncRNA
CUUGGACUAAAGCCAUAGGAGUCUCCCACUGGUUAUCCUUUCGGACUAUAAAGCAGAAGCAUGUACCCAGGAAAUCAGAACAAAAGGGUAAUAUCUUCAAACAUCGAAUGGUUAUGAGAGUGGCCAGUAAAACUAGUCUGGCCAGCAAGAAAAACAGGGGCCCCUCGGCAGACAAAACGGGCAAAGAGAAUGCCAGCCUCAAAGGAAAGGCGGGAGAAGAAGGGGAAGACGUAGUCCCAGCUGGGGAGAAAGAAGUAGAGGCCAAAUACGCAGUGGUACUUCCCAGGAUGAACAAACUGCCCAAGGCAAAGAUGGCCGAGGUUCCCCAUGCAGCUCCUGGACCUUCUACUAUACCAACAGGAGAACCCACCGUGCCACAGCCAAAAACCCCUAAACCAGGUGCCAGGCUUGUUCUCCCUGUAAAACCAGAUCUCAGCCUUCUGAAGUCCAUCAAGAAAUCCUUGCCUGGGGACUUAACAGCAGCUGCAGACUUGGCAGAAAGGAGCCCUGGGUCCAGUAGUAAACUGGAGGGAUCGUCCGCCAUUGGAGAUGUAAAGAGGAACGCCACCCUCAAAAAUCAAGAUGGAGUCAGUGUGCUACAGGCUGCAAGAGGGAAACUGAAAACCUCCCAGAUCAACCUGACAAAGAUGGCCUUGCCAGGUGGAGCAGUAAGUGGUGGGGUGACUCAAGCCAAUAGGCCAAACCCAGAGAGAGAGGCUACAACUGGGAUACCCAGGUCCACAACUCAGCUGUUCCCAAAGGGGGAGGCAAGUGCUGCAACGUCAGGUGUCCGGUCCUUGUAUGAAGAAGAGGCAGACAGAGAAGUGGCCCAGCUGAUGGGUGAGGGGGGGAUUUAUACGAUCCCCCAACCAGAGGUGCACUGGGCUGGUAACCCACAGAUGAGUGGAGACCCUCAGGACUGGCUGCGUGCAGAGAACCUGUUGCCCCACCAGACAGUGGAGAAGUUAACAAAGUGGACAGUCUAUGACGAUGGGGGCCAGGCCAGCACCGUUCCUGCCCACAACGGCAGGGGCCCCUGGGAAUCAGAGGACCCUACGCAGGAGAUGCUGGAGAGUCGACUGGUCAGCACACAGGUAUUGACACGGCAUGUCAUGUUACAAACACCAUACUGA